UGUUAUUCGGAAACUAUGCAAAGAAUGUGGUCUGGACUCCACUGGCUCUCGGAGUGACCUCCUCCUCAGAUUGUCCAAUGAAAUGAAAUCGAGGCAAACAUAUGAUAAAAUCUUUGAAAAAAUCUGGGGUGCCUCUGGAGGCUGGGGAGUCAUCAUGUGCCCAUGUGGUGUAGUUUACAGUUUAAAAUGCAAUCUUCGAGCAGAAAGCCCUCGAGAUUUUGUUGAUCUUCUGUUCUCAUGGAAGCACAUGCCGAACAUUAUCAUUUAUGACUUUGCACGCGGUUUAGCAACACAUGCCAAUCUCAGGGCACCAGAAAGCAUUCCUAUUCAUCCACAUGAGGGACGCUUGGCAGAACCCACUCAAGAAAACAUAACACUUGCCAGAUCUGGAAAUCUGAAAGUGUCCUUGCCUUGGCUGGAGGAAAAAAAGAGUGCAAGUGAUCCUCAAGGACACCCACUGACAGGAUCUUCUGAUCAUUACAUAUUAUCUGACCGUUUUCACGAGAACAAUACCAAAGACAGUAGAGAUGUUCUGAGGAAGAUCACUAUAGUGCCUCAACUAGCUGGCAAAAUAAAUAGCCAGGUUGCAGAGCAACUGUUCUCAAAGAUGAGAAAAAAUAACUACUUCUUGAACAUGUCUCAGCCAUCAACACACCUCUUUCAAAUGAGGACCAUAAUUCACCACUAUAACGAAAACAAGAACAACAAAGUGAGGACUAGAUUAAUGAAGACAUUUGGAUCAAAGUUGGUGAUGAAUAUGCAUGGACAGGCUGUGCUGGAAAAUUCGGACAUCUCUAUAGACGAGCUAGUCCCCACAGACAUUGAGAUGGAGCAUGUUACCCCGACAUCAAUGACGGUCCCAACCAGUACAGAAACUGAAAUGGUGUGUAAUUAUAAAUGCCUGUCUGCCAGUAGAGAUUGUUGGGAUUGUGUGCCAACUCAUAGGCAAUCAGUAAUGCUUGAAUGGGUUUUGGGGACAGGCGACCAAGAUGAGACAAUUGCUGAAGUUGGAAACGUGGUUCUGAAAAGAAAAGAUUUCUGGACUCUCUGUCUCAAUGAGCAGUUGGAGGCAACAAUUGCAAACAGCUGUCUUGAAGUAAUUACUUUGGUCUCUAUGGAACGAGGAUUGGAUGUGUGGACAGCUAAUGCAUAUGUUGUGGUGACCUGGUUGCCUCCAAAUAAUCUGGACCCAUCCUUGUCAUUUCCAGAUAACAUUGCACUAAAAGACUGCAUUAUCUUCCCUGCUUGGAAGCCAGGACACUGGAUGUUGUGUCAAGAUGACAGCCAAAAUUGCACCUGGAACAUGGAUGCUAAUAAAAAACAAGGAUAUCCCCCAACAGAUUGGUGGUGUGGACUGUGGAGUCUUCAUGUUGAUGUAUGCUCUACAUCUUGCCUUGGGAGCACCCUUUGAUUUUACAUCUUGUGACAUGCCAAAGAUUCGGAGAUGGUGGACUCUAAUUCUUUUAGAGAACUUUGGGGUUUUCUCUGAAAGUGCAGAUACCCUUCAAGAGGCUCUUCCACACAGAGAACCAGCUGAGCUUAGCAGCAGUGAGGAGCUACCAGUAAUCCGAGACAUGGCAGAAGCUGUGAAAUGGAUUGAUUCCAAUAACCAUCUGCUCAGAGGGCCGGUGGAAGAGCCUCUUUUCCUCACCAUGACUGAGGAGGAAAAGGAAAAGGCCCUCAAUGAUCUCAGUGAAAGCACAGACUCUUCGAGGGAGCCCUUUACGUUUCUUUUUCAGUUCAGGGAUGACAUGGAAUUAGUUAUACAAGAAUGUCAUGACAAAAUGGGUCUAAAACUGAACUGUUCAUUUGAUACAUUUUAAUUUAAAUUAAUGCCAUAUGGUCAUGACAAUGUGUGAAUUGUUUGUUUUGUAAAUUGUCAUUUUCAUUUUAUACAAAAUUGUCAUGGCAAAUUGUUUAGCAAGUUUAUUCCAUAAACUUUAAUUAUCUAGUUUUUGAU